UACUGGAACGUAUCCAUGCUGAUCACGUCUAUAACUGGGCACACUACCCGCGUUGGAUCCUGGAAAUGUUGAAAUAUGGAAUUAUUAUCAUGCAUUUAUUGGAAUUAUACUUGGCACACCUCGGUUGCUAGGCAACGCAUCGGAAGCCACCUGAUUGAAUCUGUUCCUGACGUAGGGGUCAUUGUCCUUUGCGCCCCCAGCGACAUAGCCUGCCUCAUCGAAGUACUUUCCAGUACUGCCUGUGCCAUACUCUUCGAGUGAUAUCGGACUGCUCUCAGGUUCUUCUGUGUCUGCGUGCUGCUUUAUUAAUCUAAGUGCUAUGUUUUCUUCCUGUGAACAAGGGAACGGUGUUAUAAAAAAUCUAUGUAUUUUCGUCUGCACAAGGAUUAUAAAUAGGCAUAAAAAACUAUGCCAUUCAACUACUAUCUACCAAAAUAUGUUAAUUAUUUUAAUUCGUAAUUAAAUAAAUUAUGCUUUAUCGAAGAA